UACGGGGGGGGCAAGCGUUGUUCGGAAUUACUGGGCGUAAAGGGCUCGUAGGCGGCCAACUAAGUCAGACGUGAAAUCCCUCGGCUUAACCGGGGAACUGCAUCUGAUACUGGAUGGCUUGAGAUUGGGAGAGGGAUGCGGAAUUCCAGGUGUAGCGGUGAAAUGCGCAGAUAUCGGGAGGAACACCGGUGGCGAAGGCGGGUCUCUGGGCCGAUACUGACGCUGAGGAGCGAAAGCGUGGGGAGCGAACAGG
rnacentral:rRNA from 1 species